rnacentral:tRNA from 1 species
GGUGAGAUACUCAAGUGGCCAACGAGGGCAGACUGUAAAUCUGCUGCAUUUUGCUUCGGAGGUUCGAAUCCUCCUCUCACCA